GAUGAAGAACGUAGCGAAAUGCGAUAAGUAGUGUGAAUUGCAGAAUUCAGUGAAUCAUCGAAUCUUUGAACGCACAUUGCGCCCCAUGGUAUUCCGUGGGGCAUGCCUGUUCGAGCGUCAUUUACCCCCUCAAGCUCCGCUUGGUGUUGGGCGUCUGUCCCGCUUCGCGCGCGGACUCGCCCCAAAGGUAUUGGCAGCGGUCGUGCCAGCUUCUCGCGCAGCACAUUGCGCUUCUCGAGGCACCGGUGGGCCCGCGUCCAUCAAGCUCACCCACCCAGUUUGACCUCGGAUCAGGUAGGGAUACACGCUGAACUUAAGCAUAUCAAUAAGCGGAGGA
rnacentral:misc_RNA from 1 species